GAGGAAAAGAAACCAACAGGGAUUGCCCUAGUAACGGCGAGUGAAGCGGCAACAGCUCAAAUUUGAAAUCUGGCGUCUUCGGCGUCCGAGUUGUAAUUUGCAGAGGGCGCUUUGGCAUUGGCAGCGGUCCAAGUUCCUUGGAACAGGACGUCACAGAGGGUGAGAAUCCCGUACGUGGUCGCUAGCCUUUACCGUGUAAAGCCCCUUCGACGAGUCGAGUUGUUUGGGAAUGCAGCUCUAAAUGGGAGGUAAAUUUCUUCUAAAGCUAAAUACUGGCCAGAGACCGAUAGCGCACAAGUAGAGUGAUCGAAAGAUGAAAAGCACUUUGGAAAGAGAGUUAAAAAGCACGUGAAAUUGUUGAAAGGGAAGCGCUUGCAGCCAGACUUGCCUGUAGUUGCUCAUCCGGGUUUCUACCCGGUGCACUCUUCUAUAGGCAGGCCAGCAUCAGUUUGGGCGGUUGGAUAAAGGUCUCUGUCAUGUACCUCCUCUCGGGGAGAACUUAUAGGGGAGACGACAUGCAACCAGCCUGGACUGAGGUCCGCGCAUCUGCUAGGAUGCUGGCGUAAUGGCUGUAAGCGGCCCGUCUUGAAACACGGACCAAGGAGUCUAACAUCUAUGCGAGUGUUUGGGUGUCAAGCCCGAGCGCGUAAUGAAAGUGAACGGAGGUGGGAACCUUUCGGGGUGCACCAUCGACCGAUCCUGAUGUCUUCGGAUGGAUUUGAGUAAGAGCAUAGCUGUUGGGACCCGAAAGAUGGUGAACUAUGCUUGAAUAGGGUGAAGCCAGAGGAAACUCUGGUGGAGGCUCGCAGCGGUUCUGACGUGCAAAUCGAUCGUCAAAUUUGGGCAUAGGGGCGAAAGACUAAUCGAACUAUCUAGUAGCUGG
rnacentral:rRNA from 1 species